UACAGAGGGGGCAAGCGUUGUUCGGAAUUACUGGGCGUAAAGGGCGCGUAGGCGGCCUGUUAAGUCGAACGUGAAAUCCCCGGGCUCAACCCGGGAACUGCGUCCGAUACUGGCAGGCUUGAAUUCGGGAGAGGGAUGCGGAAUUCCAGGUGUAGCGGUGAAAUGCGUAGAUAUCGAGAGGAACACCUGCGGCGAAGGCGGGUUGCUGGGCUGACACUGACGCUGAGGCGCGAAAGCUAGGGGAGCGAACGGG
rnacentral:rRNA from 1 species